GACGAACGCUGGCGGCGUGCUUAACACAUGCAAGUCGAACGGUGAAGCUCCAGCUUGCUGGAGUGGAUCAGUGGCGAACGGGUGAGUAACACGUGAGCAACCUGCCCCUGACUCUGGAAUAAGCGCUGGAAACGGCGUCUAAUACUGGAUACGAGAAGGGUCCGCAUGGGCACUUUCUGGAAAGUUUUUCGGUUGGGGAUGGGCUCGCGGCCUAUCAGCUUGUUGGUGAGGUAAUGGCUCACCAAGGCGGCGACGGGUAGCCGGCCUGGGAGGGCGACCGGCCACACUGGGACUGAGGCACGGCCCAGACUCCUACGGGAGGCAGCAGUGGGGAAUAUUGCACAAUGGGCGAAAGCCUGAUGCAGCGGCGCCGGGUGAGGGAUGACGGCCUUCGGGGUGUAAACCUCUUUCAGCAGGGAAGAAGCGAAAGUGACGGUACCUGCAGAAGAAGCACCGGCUAACUACGUG
rnacentral:rRNA from 1 species